UGGGGAAUAUUGCACAAUGGGGGAAACCCUGAUGCAGCGACGCCGCGUGAACGAAGAAGGUAUUCGUAUCGUAAAGUUCUGUCCUAUGGGAAGAUAAUGACAGUACCAUAGAAGAAAGCUCCGGCUAAAUACGUGCCAGCAGCCGCGGUAAUACGUAUGGAGCGAGCGUUGUCCGGAAUUAUUGGGCGUAAAGGGUACGUAGGCGGUUUAAUAAGUCGAAUGUUAAAGAUCGGGGCUCAACCCCGCAAAGCAUUGGAAACUGAUAAACUUGAGUAGUGGAGAGGAAAGUGGAAUUCCUAGUGUAGUGGUGAAAUACGUAGAUAUUAGGAGGAAUACCAGUAGCGAAGGCGACUUUCUGGACACAAACUGACGCUGAGGUACGAAAGCGUGGGGAGCAAACAGG
rnacentral:rRNA from 1 species